rnacentral:sRNA from 2 species
AUCCGCAACGACAAUACAAUCAGCAAAUCUCAAUCAAAAGGUGGAGAUAUAAAAAUAUACUUAAAAUGAAAACCCAAACUGCUUUCCAGCAACUCGUGUCCCAUCUUCGUAGACGUCAAACACAAUUACAUCGCCUCUCUGAUCCUGUAUCUCUCUCCUCCCUUUUUCCUGCAGUAAAAUGUUGACUGUGUCAAGCCACAAAUAUAGCGGACGGACCGACCUCUACCAGGCACACCAAAAUCGUUACAUCAUAUUCGAUCCCCCGCCUCCCCUUCUUCCUGGUGAGGUCGUAGAGUGGGGUUGUUGGAGAGUGGGUGGGGUUCCCUCGUAUUCAUUGUAGCCGGCGUACUUCCACGGCUAUUAUCUGUGAUUUUCACCAAUUCUCCUUCAACGAGAUUCCGUACGUAGAAUGAGAGCAGGGGAUACGAACAGUUGAUGAUUGAUUUUAGAUUGCAGUAUAUGGCACGCCCGCUGAAGCAUCCAAGCGGACACGUAGGAUUUGAUAACCAUAAUCCGCCCCUGGUAACAAAGAAAAGGUAAGGAAAUGAAAACGUUUUACUACAAUUGUCCCGAUUCUGUUUUGUAUAUCCUUCUUGAAUUGAUUACCAAUUUUCAAUCAAUGGACGAAAAAAAGGUUCAUAUGUAGCUGAAUGUAAGAAAAUUGGUCCUGCUUCCUUCAUCCAAGUGUGAACAGCAUAGGAGGUAUUUUUGAGAGGCGGUAUAAGAGAGCAAGAAUAAAAAUAAUACAAGGAAAAUGGAGAGAAGGUGAUGGGGAAAGCAGCAAGCGGGAGAUUGAGAGACAUAAGAAAAAUAAUAUAUAUGAUGCAUAGAGAAACAAUGGCUGCACUCAACGCAAACGCAACUAAACCUGAUAGUAUUCGUGCAAACACAAGGAAAGAUGGAUAUAUAAAGAUUUAAGGUGUGAGUGGAGGGAAGGGGGAGAGAAACAACGUCCGCUAUCAUGUAUCAAAGCAAGUCUGGGGAAAAUCACAGAUCAAAAAUCAAAACCUCCGUUUUUGACUGGCUCUAAAAGCCGUGAAGCCAACAUACGCCGCAACAACAAGAGCUAGGAACAUAAUGAUCUUAAAUAAAAACCAUAACCAUCCACCACUACCAUCAUCGCCACCCCUGCUAUAAGCGGCUCCCUUUCCGGCCUUGGAACUUGUCUUCUUACCGGCGCCCCUGGAGAUGGGAACUUGGUCUGUGGGCGCCUUGUUGUAGAGCGAAUAGGUGUCGAUAGAUAUGAUGUCAUGGUUGUCGCUGAGUUCGCCGGUCUCGGCGGACACUCCGAGGUAGGCGACUGUGGGGAUGUUUAUAGAUUGCUCCUCAGAAGCUUCAACGGUGAAGCAAGAAGUCCAGGAGAGGUCUGAUUUAUAUUGCAGGUCGAGGGAGAGGAAUUUGUCUUGGAAGUAGGUUAUUCGAGCC